AGAGUUUGAUCCUUGGCUCAGGACGAACGCUGGCGGCGUGCUUAACACAUGCAAGUCGAACGAUGAAAGCGGGAGCUUGCUCCUGCUGGAUUAGUGGCGAACGGGUGAGUAACACGUGAGCAAUCUGCCCCUGACUCUGGGAUAAGCGUUGGAAACGACGUCUAAUACCGGAUACGAGAUGAGACCGCAUGGUCAUCAUUUGGAAAGAACUUCGGUCAGGGAUGAGCUCGCGGCCUAUCAGCUUGUUGGUGAGGUAAUGGCUCACCAAGGCGACGACGGGUAGCCGGCCUGAGAGGGUGACCGGCCACACUGGGACUGAGACACUGCCCAGACUCCUACGGGAGGCAGCAGUGGGGAAUAUUGCACAAUGGGCGCAAGCCUGAUGCAGCAACGCCGCGUGAGGGAUGAAGGCCUUCGGGUUGUAAACCUCUUUUAGCAGGGAAGAAGCGAAAGUGACGGUACCUGCAGAAAAAGCGCCGGCUAACUACGUGCCAGCAGCCGCGGUAAU
rnacentral:rRNA from 1 species